UAAAUAAAUAAAUAAAUAAAUAUAUUUAUUUUUUAACAAAUGUAACAAUUCCUCCUUUCAAGCCUCCUUCCAAUUUGACCUUACCUCAGAUGACCUUACAGCAACCUUUAUUGGAGCCUUCUUUUGAUGUGGCCACUGAUAUAAAUAUGGCUUCUUCGUCUUUGAUUGCACCUAUGAUGAUGACCUCGCAGCCUUCCUUAAAGCCUUCUUGUGUGACUAGUGAUCCAAAUACCUCAAAGGACCGUUUUAAAAAUUCCCCUCCUUCUGAGGAAAAAACGCUGAAAAACCUAAUUUCGCCUACCAGCUGCACCCAAACAGAGGAAGCGUUAAGCAGAAACACUCCCCGGAAAAAGAAGCUAAGACUUAAAAUCAACCAUAUACGGAGGAAGAAUAGAAAACUUAGUUUUAAAAAAGAAGCAUCAACAACCAAAAACUGGAGCCUUGAAGACUUUAAUAAUAUGUGCGAUCAUUUUCUUAGCAGGACCGUGUCUCAAAUUGUCAAAACACAUGCUGCUUUGAAGGAUAAGAAACCAUUGGCAAGAAGGUACACUCCAGAAUUAAAAGAAUUUGCGUUAAGGUUGUAUUUUUUGAGUCCUUCAGGAUACAGAUUUCUGAGCAAAAUUUUUACUCUACCAACAAAAAGGUCUUUACAAAAAAUGAC